UACGUAGGGCGCAAGCGUUAUCCGGAAUUAUUGGGCGUAAAGAGCUCGUAGGCGGUUUGUCGCGUCUGCCGUGAAAGUCCGGGGCUCAACUCCGGAUCUGCGGUGGGUACGGGCAGACUAGAGUGAUGUAGGGGGAGACUGGAAUUCCUGGUGUAGCGGUGAAAUGCGCAGAUAUCAGGAGGAACACCGAUGGCGAAGGCAGCUCGCUGGGACGGUACUGACGCUGAGGCGCGAAAGCGUGGGGAGCAAACAGG
rnacentral:rRNA from 1 species